rnacentral:misc_RNA from 1 species
CGAACCACAUAUCGUGUUUUACUUUGUGUGUCCGUUCACCCGCUGCCACCGUCGCCGCCCCCUCCCGUCUCCCUCCCUCAGCACACCAUCCCCUCCACAAUCAUCAGCAAGCACUAGGGGCAGAGGUCGUCUCUGAUUCGAGUAUGAGCCGGUUAGCCCGCGCGCUAGCAAAGCCCUUCACGGUGCCGGUAGCCAUGUGCACAAGGCAUGUAGCGGCAAUGGACGAGCCGCUGAAGCGGCACAUCGACGCCUAUGCGGCGCGAGGAGAGGACAUCACGAUCGCCGUCUGGCGCGAGUAUGUGGACGGGCAGCGGGCGCUGCUGCCGUACCGGUGGGCAAAGUUUCGGAGCGAGGUGGCGUAUCUGGCCUCGGGACAGAUGGCCAUCACGGACUUGACCUUCGCCGACCUUCUGGUCUUCGUGCGCUUUCUCACGAAGUGUCUCUUCAUCUUUAUCGUCGCCGUGAUGGUCGGCCGCCGCUCCGUCUUCCCGUCGCUGGAGCCGACAUCGCCGUUCGUGGAGGAAAUCGUAAAGAACUGGCAACCGAACCGGCUGCGCGGGGUGGCAGGCGCGGAGUAUAUGGCGCGCGAUCAGGCAGCAGCUGCUGAUAUGGCCGCCGAUAAGGCGGAGAAGUCACCGAUCUCGUAAGCUGCUGUACGAUGGGGAGGCGAGGGGGAAGGCGUGCUGACGAGGAAGAGCGCAACGAGAGAAAGACGCGGGAGGCAAGAAGCGCAGCCAUAGAUGUAUAAGGAAGGUGUAUCUGCCUGUCUGUGCUGGUGGGGUCGUUGUGCAGCACUAUGUUGCAGACACGAUUGGCGUGCCUCCCCACUCCUUCCUUCUUUUUCCGCACCCCACCCAGCCUUUUUUUUUUGCCAGCAUCCGCGCCUGAUGUUGUCGAGCAUCGUGGCGGAGUGACACCCUUAACUCUCUCAGCGUGUGUGUCUGUGAGUGUGUGUGUUCCCCGUGAUGUGGUGCCGCGUUGACUUCCGCGGCAUCUUUGGCGUCUCACUCUCUGUUGUCGCUGCGUCGGCUUCUUCGCCGGUGAUAUACCUGCGCCUGUGCCUGCGUGUGCGCGUGCGCGCCUUUCACUCGCCUGUUUUUUUUUUCUCCCCCCCCCUAGUAGUAGUAGUAGUCAGAGCAGUGGCUGUGAUACAGAAGAGGGAGCGGGAGCCAGCGUGUGUGUACCUUCUUCGCGCAUGCGGGGUCCGUUUUUGCGUAGUUAGCAACUGGAAAGGGGCUGAGAUGCACAAAGAGAGGCAGGGAAGAAGGAAGGCGGCAAGAGACCGGGUGCAGCACGCCGGUCUUUGACGUCUCACCUGAUGGCUUUCCGUCGUCGUUCCUCCCGCCCCCACUCCCACUUCUCCGCUCAGCGCCAUCUCCUACCCUUUUCAAGCUAAGUGCUGUCGUCAUUGUGGUCCCUUCUGCCCUCCCCAUCCCGACGCCUCUUCCUCUCUGGACACAGGCACGCGUGGAGUGGGGGGGUACCACAUGGCUCACUAGCUCCAUUCAUCGCCCUCCAUCCCCGUUUUCCUUCUGAGGUCUCACGUGGGAAUGGGAGGCGAGGAGUGGGGAGAGGGAGGGAUUCACCGCCGCCGUUCUCCUCUCUUGCUUGAUCCGCUGCAGGUUGAAGAGCCGUCCGCUCACCCCUUUCUCCUCCUUCCAGCUUCAGCUCCGUACCGCUCCGCCUUUCCGCCUGCCCCCUCCCCCUUCCUCUCUCUUUCUCUUCCUCCGCCCGCCCCUGAGACCCCGCGGGUGCUGGUCUCCAAGACCGCUCUCACACGUCCGUCUUCCGGCGCGUACCCCGCCGCCCCUUGCCCCAUUCUAGCCGCCAUUCCGCACCAUCGCACGCACCGCGAGGCAGAGAGUCGCCUGUAGCGGUGCAUGCAUGUAUGCCAUGUGUGUUGGUGUGUGUAUCGCUGCCGGACCUUCGGCGCCCUUUCGGACGGAGUCCAGCAGCGGAGAAAAAAGAACAGGCUCCCGUACACCACAGGAGAACCAGCAGCAAACGCCAUU